CUCGAGGAUAGAACGCUGGCGGCGUGCUUAACACAUGCAAGUCGAACGGAGUUUUUUAAGUGGUAAGUUUUCGGAUGGAAGUUUAAAAACUUAGUGGCGGACGGGUGAGUAACGCGUGGGUAACCUGCCUCAUACGAGGGGGAUAACAGUUAGAAAUGACUGCUAAGACCGCAUAAUAUAGCGAAACCGCAUGAUUUUUGCUAUCAAAUAUUUUAUAGGUAUGAGAUGGGCCCGCGUCUGAUUAGCUAGUUGGUGGGGUAAAAGCCUACCAAGGCGACGAUCAGUAGCCGGCUUGAGAGAGUGACCGGCCACAUUGGGACUGAGACACGGCCCAAACUCCUACGGGAGGCAGCAGUGGGGAAUAUUGGACAAUGGGGGAAACCCUGAUCCAGCGAACCGCCGCGUGAGUGAAGAAGUAUUUCGGUAUGUAAAGCUCUAUCAGCAGGGAAGAUAAUGACAGUACCUGACUAAGAAGCCCCGGCUAACUACGUGCCAGCCGCAGC
rnacentral:rRNA from 1 species